CAGUAGCCACGGUAAUACAGAGGGUGCGAGCGUUAAUCGGAUUUACUGGGCGUAAAGCGUGCGUAGGCGGCUUCUUAAGUCGGAUGUGAAAUCCCUGAGCUUAACUUAGGAAUUGCAUUCGAUACUGGGAAGCUAGAGUAUGGGAGAGGAUGGUAGAAUUCCAGGUGUAGCGGUGAAAUGCGUAGAGAUCUGGAGGAAUACCGAUUGCGAAGGCAGCCAUCUGGCCUAAUACUGACGCUGAGGUACGAAAGCAUGGGGAGCAAACAGGAUUAGAUACCCCUGUAGUCCCUGUCUCUUAUAC
rnacentral:rRNA from 1 species